rnacentral:rRNA from 1 species
GAUGAACGCUGGCGGCAUGCCUAAUACAUGCAAGUCGAGCGAACAGACGAGGAGCUUGCUCCUCUGACGUUAGCGGCGGACGGGUGAGUAACACGUGGAUAACCUACCUAUAAGACUGGGAUAACUUCGGGAAACCGGAGCUAAUACCGGAUAAUAUAUUGAACCGCAUGGUUCAAUAGUGAAAGACGGUUUUGCUGUCACUUAUAGAUGGAUCCGCGCCGCAUUAGCUAGUUGGUAAGGUAACGGCUUACCAAGGCAACGAUGCGUAGCCGACCUGAGAGGGUGAUCGGCCACACUGGAGCUGAGACACGGUCCAGACUCCUACGGGAGGCAGCAGUAGGGAAUCUUCCGCAAUGGGCGAAAGCCUGACGGAGCAACGCCGCGUGAGUGAUGAAGGUCUUCGGAUCGUAAAACUCUGUUAUUAGGGAAGAACAAAUGUGUAAGUAACUAUGCACGUCUUGACGGUACCUAAUCAGAAAGCCACGGCUAACUACGUG